CAAUGAAGGAAGUAUAGUAAUGUGCGCAUAAAUUAAUUUUGGUCUCUAGGUAUGCCCUCUCUGAUGCCAUUUGGCUUUGAUUUGGAGGCAUGGUUCCGCAACAAAACA